UCUUUCCCCAGCAACAGCAGUGACCCAGAACAAGCCUCACAGCAAAGCACAUUUCAAGCCCUGCUGCAUCACACUUGCCACCCCCAAGACCCAGGGAUGCACUGUUGCACUUUUAAUUAAGCAUUUGGGCUCUUCAGAAGAAGAGAAAAGACACAGAUCUACGCGUAACAGCACAGCAGCACUACAUAUUUCAUUCUGACUGCUUUUGGAGUACGGAGUCAAAUGAAA
rnacentral:lncRNA from 1 species